UACGGGGGGGGCAAGCGUUGUUCGGAAUUACUGGGCGUAAAGGGCUCGUAGGCGGCCAACUAAGUCAGACGUGAAAUCCCUCGGCUUAACCGGGGAACUGCAUCUGAUACUGGAUGGCUUGAGUUCGGGAGAGGGAUGUGGAAUUCCAGGUGUAGCGGUGAAAUGCGUAGAUAUCUGGAGGAACACCGAUGGCGAAGGCAGGUCUCUGGGCAUUAACUGACGCUGAGGAGCGAAAGCAUGGGGAGCGAACAGG
rnacentral:rRNA from 1 species